GAUGAACGCUGGCGGCGUGCCUAAUACAUGCAAGUCGAGCGAAUGGAUUAAGAGCUUGCUCUUAUGAAGUUAGCGGCGGACGGGUGAGUAACACGUGGGUAACCUGCCCAUAAGACUGGGAUAACUCCGGGAAACCGGGGCUAAUACCGGAUAACAUUUUGAACCGCAUGGUUCGAAAUUGAAAGGCGGCUUCGGCUGUCACUUAUGGAUGGACCCGCGUCGCAUUAGCUAGUUGGUGAGGUAACGGCUCACCAAGGCAACGAUGCGUAGCCGACCUGAGAGGGUGAUCGGCCACACUGGGACUGAGACACGGCCCAGACUCCUACGGGAGUCAGCAGUAGGGAAUCUUCCGCAAUGGACGAAAGUCUGACGGAGCAACGCCGCGUGAGUGAUGAAGGCUUUCGGGUCGUAAAACUCUGUUGUUAGGGAAGAACAAGUGCUAGUUGAAUAAGCUGGCACCUUGACGGUACCUAACCAGAAAGCCACGGCUAACUACGUGCCAGCCGCCGCCUAA
rnacentral:rRNA from 1 species